rnacentral:rRNA from 1 species
GGAUGCGAUCAUACCAGCACUAAAGCACCGGAUCCCAUCAGAACUCCGAAGUUAAGCGUGCUUGGGCGAGAGUAGUACUAGGAUGGCUGACCUCCUGGGAAGUCCUUGUGUUGCAUUCC